GCUUUAUUUGUUUUAUAACAUUCUUAUACACAAAGUCCUCAUAAUAAACAAAGUGUUAACAUGUAGCGUUGUUCUUAAAUAUCACUAAACAUAGGAUAGUUAAUAUAAGAAAUUAACUAUCUAGAUAGAUUAACAUAAGUUGGGUUGAUUUCCUAAUGACUGAAAGCAAUGAUUCAUGAACUACAAUUGAUAGCGACGAAAAGGAAGUAUUUCUGCCGAGUUGCUGUUAGA
rnacentral:misc_RNA from 1 species